UACGGAGGAUGCGAGCGUUAUCCGGAUUUAUUGGGUUUAAAGGGUGCAUAGGCGGAUUUUUAAGUCAGCGGUAAAAUGUCCGGGCUCAACCCGGGCCGGCCGUUGAAACUGGGGAUCUUGAGUGGGCGAGAAGUAUGCGGAAUGCGUGGUGUAGCGGUGAAAUGCAUAGAUAUCACGCAGAACUCCGAUUGCGAAGGCAGCAUACCGGCGCCCGACUGACGCUGAGGCACGAAAGCGUGGGGAUCGAACAGG
rnacentral:rRNA from 1 species